rnacentral:lncRNA from 1 species
UUCACCAAAUUUUAUGAAAUUGCCAAAAGUUCUUUUAUUGAAAACAAAAACCAAUGCUUAUGGUGUAUCUGAACAAAAAGAUAAAAAUAGACAUGGGCCUUCUAAACAGUUUGGACCAAAAUUACAAUAAAUAAAAAUUAUUAAUAAAAAUAGAACAUAUUUGGUAUGGGCCUUCAAAUUAAUCUUGGGCUUCAACAACGAUUAAUAUGUUUAGUGGUGCCUCUACUUCUGGGCCUUCAUCCUUCUCCACUUGGACCUUAUUAAGUAUGUCUGCUACCAUUUGGUGGAGGGUAUCCACUGACUGCUUGGUCUUACUCCUCGUCAUAGGUCCCUGUAUUUGAACAGUUUCAGGAUUCUUAUCAGUUAAGUAUGAAUCCACUUAUCAUUGUAUAUAUUAAGGUUUUAUUAUUUUUGGGCCUUGCAUUUAGGACUCCAAAAUGUAGGUAAAUUACCCUAAAAAUGUAAGAUUUUUCAGCCCUUGUAUUUUAGGGCACCUAGACUAGUUUUUGUAUUAGGGGUAGUUUUAUAAUUUCAAAUGCAUUAAGUGAAUAUAUGAUGUGUGUGUUAGGGAAUAAAUUUAAUUGAAUUGGGAGAAGCCCAAUCCAAUUAAAUUUUAGAGGGGAGGUGAGCAUUUGCUUGCUACACCUUAUUGUCACAUCAUAUAGUCACAUUUUGUGUAUGUCCUCCAUGCUUUACAUGCCUCAUGACACCUAAGUAUACUUAGGGGAGAAUUUUGGACUUGAUAUUGGAUUAGUGAACUGAACCAUAGCUAAAAUUUACUAAUCAUAAUUAGUGAAAUUUUGGCUCCAAAAUUUGGCUCCACAAAUUCAAUUUCAAAUUUGGCUCCACAAAUUCAAUUGGAGGGAAAUUCAAAUUUCUCUCCAAUUUUGUGUGACACUUAGACUAUAAACAGAGGACAUGUUUGUGUAUUUUUUGAACUUUGAUCAUUUGAGAAUUACACUUCAAAGUUCAGACCUCAUUUGAGGCACAAAAUUUCAUGUCCCUUCUCUCCCUCUCCCUCCACUCAUCUUCUCCUACCUUCGAGCUCUUAUCCAUGACUUCCUAUGGUGGUGAGCUUCUUCUUGACUCAUCUUUUCCUUGAGAUGACAUCUUCAAUCAUCUUUCUUCCUUCUCCAUUUCCCUGCCAUUCAUCUUCAAGAAGCAAAUGAUUCCAUUGAUGAAUUUAACAGCCAAAUAUAACCAAGGAUAAUUUCUAGACCAUUGACCUAGAAAGCUUAUACACAACUUGACACAGAUACGAUACGACACAAAGAUAGGAUUAAUGUAGAAGGAAGAAAGAUGAUUGUGAAAAUAGCAAAAUGUUACAAUUUGUCAUAUGGUUAUAAUAUUGCCAUUUGUAUUGGUAUAACAGUUUAAAAAACAAAUGUCAAACAAAUGUAAAAUACAGCUAACAGUAUUAGUGAAAGUUAUUGUAAAAUGUAGUGUCAAACUUAAAUAUGCAUCCACAACUGUUAUUUUGAAGUGUGCUUAUAUGCUUCCUUUGCACUGACCAUCCUUCUCUUAAUCAUUCUUUAAAAGAAAGCAGAGAAACAACUACUACUAGAACAAAAUAUCAAUAUCACAAAGAGCAAGUUUCCAACAUGAUCAACAGGACCACAUGGAUAAGCAAAUUUUCAAAUUGAGUUCAAUAUUACAUAAAAGAUUAUAACAAUACAAAGUUCUCCAUUGUAGUGUUUAGUAUACACACCUAAAUAAAAUCAAAUUCUAUACAAUAUCUUGUAUUACUUUAAUCCACAACAAAAAUAAAACUUAAUUAUGCCUAUUCAAUUAGUGCAAAAGGUAUUCAACUAUUUUCUUUUUUAAAUGACAAUACAUGAUUCAACGAUAGCCUAAAAAUACACAUGAAGUGAAUCAAAAUUAAAUCCUCAAUUUGUUUCCCUUAAAAGAAUCGAAUAUGAUUUUCUGUUUUAGUUUUCUUUAUUUUCUACCUUAAACAUAUUAACAAUUAUAUAGAGGAAAUAACACUGACAAAAUUACAUAUAGAAGUAAAAAAGGAAUUGGAACCCUAGCAAGAAAAUAGAGAAAAACUUACAAGUUGAAAAAGAGAAGAAGAAGAAUCCUUUCAAAACCGCACUGUUUUGGAACAAGAUGACUGUGUUUUGUUCGGGUUAACGACCACGUUGUGUUGCAAAGAGUGACGACGCAACAACAAAAUAAAACGAUCGAGAAUAACAAAAUUUCUAGCAAGACAGUUACAUAUCUCACAAGUCAGAGCCCAUGUACCCUUGAGGUAAGGUUCCUCACAUUCAGUUUGCGUCAAUGUUCAGGGGGGGAGAAAAAUGAAGCAGCCACGUUUGGAGAGUUGCUGUAAGUGAAACGGUGUGUUUAAGGGAGUAAGUCUACAAUUUAAUCACAGCCACACGUUUCAUCCAACAGUCUCCCUUUGUC